AAAGUGGCAGCCCGCCGCGCUGCUCAGCCCCUGGGGUCCCUCACCCCACUCAGGCAGACGACAGCCAGAGUGGGUCAAAGUGGCAACCCGCCGCGCAGCUCAGCCCUGGGGGCCCAACCCUGACUCAGGCGGCAGACCACCAGAAUGGUGAAAGUGGCAGCCCGCUGCGCUGCCCAGCCCGGGCGGGCCCCCCUCUACUCAGGCGGCCGACAGCCAGACUGGGUCAAAGUGGCAGCCCGCCGUGCUGCUCACCCCUGGCGGCCACCGCCAACUCAGGUGGCCCACCGCCAGAGUGGGUCAAACUGGCAGCCUGCCGCCCUGCUCAGCACUGGGGGCCCCACUCCCACUCAGGCGGCCGACCGCCCGAGUGGGUCAAAGUCGCAGCCCGCAGCGCUGCUCAGCCCUGGGGGCGCCCCACGUAGUCUGGCGGCCGAUCGCCACAGUGGCUCAUAGUGGCAGCCCACCGCGCUGCUCAGCCCUGGGGGUCCCACGCCCACUCAGGCGGCCGACCGCCAGAGUGGGUCAAAGUGGCAGCCCGCCGCGCAGCUAAGCCCUGGCUGCCCCACCCUGACUGAGGUGGCAGACCGCCAUAGUGGGUCAAAGUGGCAGCCCGCCGCGCAGCUCAGUCCGGGCGGGCCCCCCUCUACUCAGGCGGCCGACAGAAAGACUGGGUCAAAUUGGCAGCCCGCCGCACUGCUCAGCCCUGGAGGCCCCCCCCCCCACUCUGGCUGCCGACCACCAGAGUGGGUCAAAGUGGCAGCCCGCCGCGCAGCUCAGCCCAGGGGACACAACCUGACUCAGGUUGCAGACCGCCAGAGUGGGUCAAAGUGGCAGCCCGCCG
rnacentral:lncRNA from 1 species